CAGCCGCCGCGGUAAUACCGAAGCCCCAAGUGGUCGUCGUUCUUAUUGGGCCUAAAACGUCCGUAGCCGGUUUGGUACAUUCGUGGGUAAAUCAGACAGCUUAACUGUUUGAAUUCUGCGAGCACGGCCAAACUUGAGACCGGGAGAGGUGUAGGGUACCUGCGGGGUAGGGGUAAAAUCCUGUCAUCCCGUAGGGACCACCAGUUGCGAAGGCUCUACACUAGAACGGAUCUGACGGUCAGGGACGAAGCCUAGGGGCACGAACCGGAUUAGAUACCCGGGUAGUCCUAGGUGUAAACGCUGUGGACUUUGUGUCGGGAAUUCUUCGAGGAUUCUCGGUGCCGGAGUGAAGAUGUUAAGUCCACUGCCUGGGGAGUACGGUCGCAAGGCUGAAACUUAAAGGAAUUGGCGGGGGAGCACUGCAACGAGAGGAGCGUGCGGUUUAAUUGGAUUCAACGCCGGAAAACUCACCAAAGCCGACUGUUAGAUGAAGACCAGCGUAACGAGCUUGUCGGAUUUUCAGAGAGGUAGUGCAUGGCCGUCGUCAGUUCGUACCGUAAGGCGUUCUGUUAAGUCAGAUAACGAACGAGACCCCCAUCGUCAUUUGCUAACCCUUUCUCCGGAAAGGGCGCACUAUGGCGAGACCGCUGGCGUGAAGUCAGAGGAAGGCGGGGGCAACGGUAGGUCAGUAUGCUCCGAAUGCUUUGGGCUACACGCGCGCUACAAAGGACGGGACAAAGGGCUGCUACUCCGAGAGGAGAUGCUAUCCCGAAACCCGUUCGUAGUUCGGAUCGUGGGCUGUAACUCGCCCUCGUGAAGCUGGAUUUCGUAGUAAUCGCGUCUCAAAAUGGCGCGGUGAAUAUGCCCCUGCUCCUUGCACACACCGCCCG
rnacentral:rRNA from 1 species